GAACCUGCGGAAGGAUCAUUGUCGAAACCCCAAAAGUACCACCCGCGGCAGGGGUAAUAAACGRACGGGAGACRUCGGGACGCGUGUCCUCGCGGUCRCCUUCUGCUCCCCUUAGUCURUCGGGCCGGCCCUGUCUCGACCUUGUGGGUCGGCGACGUCGCGCCCGGCAGAGGCAACCAAAACCCGAGCGUAGGAUGCACCAAGGAAAAUGGACAUAGAGCGCUCACCACGCCUUCGCCUCGCGCUCGAUAUGUCGACGGGGGGAAGGCGGUGCCGUCAUCGACUAARAUGACUCUCGUAAUGGAUAUCUCAGCUCUCGCAUCGUUGAAGAACGUAGAGAAAUGCGAUAUUUGGUGUGAAUUGCAUAAUCAUGCGAACCGUCGAGUCUUUGAACGCAAGGUGCGCCCGAGGCCAAUAAGGUCAAGGGCACUUCUGUGUGGGCACCGCACAUCACGUCACCUGCCAGCUAUCGUCCCUCGAGGGGCAGGUGGAAUAUGGCCUCCCGUGCCUCGUGAAAAGAGACGCGGUUGGCCCAAAUUGCAAGCUAGGGCGACAGAUGCCACACAAUGGGUGGUUGGUUGGCGAGGCCUUAUCGGYGAAGCAUUUACGACGACUUGUCGCGGCCCCUCUCCCCGACCUCGCUUGGUCCGACCCCGUUGUGCCGUCCUCGAAGACACUCUGCGGCGACCCCAGAUCAGGCGGGAUUACCCGCUGAGUUUAAGCAUAUCAAUAAGCGG
rnacentral:rRNA from 1 species